AGUAUAUAGAAUACUACCAAUAGGAACGCCACCGUCCAUUGACUCUGACACGAUCUCACCUGGAUUUUUAUGUGUAUUUUGUCUUUGCUAUUUGAAUAUACUACUAUUAGAUAACGAAAAUGAGUCUUGACAGUGGAAGUGGAUUGAAAUGUCGAAAGAAAGCAGUUGAUAAAGAACAGGUCGAGCAAAUUAACGAGGAAAUUGAAGAUAGAAACUCCAAAGAGACUCGUUUAACCUUAAUGGAGGAAGUGUUGUUGUUAGGAUUGAAAGAUAGAGAGGGCUACACAUCUUUUUGGAAUGACUGCAUUUCUUCUGGACUUAGGGGUUGUAUCAUUAUUGAACUAGGAUUAAGGGGGCGUGUUGAGCUCGAAAAAACAGGCCUAAGGAAAAGAAGCUUACUAAAUAAAAAACUAUUAUUUAAAUCGGAUGCCCCAACUGGUGAUGUUCUCCUAGAUGAAGCCUUGAAACAUAUAAAAGAAACUGACCCUCCCGAGACUAUACAAAGCUGGAUAGAAUACCUUUCUGGUGAAACUUGGAAUCCUUUGAAACUCAAAUAUCAACUUAGAAAUGUCCGAGAGCGCUUAGCAAAGAACUUAGUUGACAAAGGAGUGUGUACUACUGAAAAACAGAAUUUUGUGCUCUUUGAUAUGACUACACACCCUCUAACUGAUUCGAAUGUUAAGCAAAAACUAAUAAAACGUGUUCAGGAAUCUGUUCUUUCGAAAUGGGCCAACGAUGCUCAAAGAAUGGACAAACGAAUGCUGUCUUUGUUGUAUUUGGCUCAUGCCUCAGAUGUCCUGGAAAAUGCUUUUGCUCCUUUGGCCGAUGAUGAUUACGAAUUGGCUAUGAAGAGAGUCCGAGAUUUACUGGAUUUAGAUUUUGAAGCAGAAGGAGCAAAAGAUGGAGCUAAUGAAGUAAUGUGGUGUGUUAUAUCGGCCUUUUCUAAAUGACAUUCCUGCAUUUUCCGUUUAAAGACGUUACAGAAUAAUGAAACAAAAAGAAAGAGCUUUUAUUAUAUAAAUAUGGGGAUUUUCUUCUUUUUUCGUGUUGAAAAUGGUUAAAAUACUAAUAAUAGAUUGGACGCUAACCUGUGAUAUUUUAUGUUUCUUUCGUUAAAAAAUUUUUUAUUUGGUAAAGCUGCAUAUUUAAUUAGAAUUUUAUCUUAACAAUUCUAUAUGUAAUUUUAUUAAUAGCGAAUAUGUGUAUCAUUAAUCAAUAAAAGGUUUGGUUAAUUUGUAGCUUUUUUUCAUUUUAGUAAAAAGACUUUAGAUUCUUCCUUCUCACUGGAAAUGAUUAUAGAUGAGUCUAUAUUCUCUUUUUGGUCAGCUGUUAAAUCUGCUUCGUGAUAUAGUACCGCCCAAGUUUCAUCUGUCAUUGCGUUCAAAAAUAUACUUAAUGUGAUAAUAGCCUAGUUUUAUUAAAGGCCAUAAAAGAUAUCUGAGCUAUAAUGAAGUCUAAACUUUAAAUAACCAACCUUUUUCUAUUUUAUCACCUUCAUCUUUUAAAAUUUCUAUUCCAACUUUAUAAUCCAGCUGAUCCUCUACGCUAAACCUUCCGGCGUGAUGUUCUCUUAGCACUUUUGCUAGGGGAAGACCCCUAAUUACGUUUACAAUUCCAUUUGAAUUGCUUUUUAUUUCUGUUUUUCUACUAGCCAGCUUGAGAACUUCUCUAGGGUCCUUCAUAAGCUGAGAUGCUAAUUUAGCGUCGACACCUUGCUUGAUAAUCAUCAAACGAAACUUUUCAGCCGCCGAAUUAUCAUUUAAAGUAGAUCUCAUCAUUUUUUCUGCUUCUUCAAAACAUUUUGCAAUAUUUGUCGAUUGAAGGAGACAAGCUCCCAAUUUACAAACAACAUCUAUAAGAUCCUUAGGCCCUUUGCCGUUUAAAGUGUCAACCGCUUCUAACACUUCAAUAGCAUUUCCAAUGGUUUUUCCAAUAGGAGAGACCAUCUUGGUCAUGGCAGCAAUGAUAUUCAUACCAAGUUCUUUUCCAACAUCAAU
rnacentral:misc_RNA from 1 species